UCUGUCCCAAGAGGCAUUGCAGGUGUGGCAGCUGUGUCACAUGUACAUCAGUAGGUGACAGAGGCAAGAGAACCUAUGUCUAUGCUCAAUGUUCUGACCUAGGAACAUCUGGAAUAUUAGUGGCCUAACAUU